rnacentral:tRNA from 4 species
GCUCGCAUAGCUCAGUUGGGAGAGCACCUGCCUUACAAGCAGGGGGUCACUGGUUCAAGUCCAGUUGUGAGCACCA